GAUGAACGCUGGCGGCGUGCCUAAUACAUGCGAGUCGAGCGAACAGACGAGGAGCUUGCUCCUCUGACGUUAGCGGCGGACGGGUGAGUAACACGUGGAUAACCUACCUAUAAGACUGGGAUAACUUCGGGAAACCGGAGCUAAUACCGGAUAACAUGUUGAACCGCAUGGUUCAACAGUGAAAGACGGUCUUGCUGUCACUUAUAGAUGGAUCCGCGCCGCAUUAGCUAGUUGGUAAGGUAACGGCUUACCAAGGCAACGAUGCGUAGCCGACCUGAGAGGGUGAUCGGCCACACUGGAACUGGGACACGGUCCAGACUCCUACGGGAGGCAGCAGUAGGGAAUCUUCCGCAAUGGGCGAAAGCCUGACGGAGCAACGCAGCGUGAGUGAUGAAGGUCUUCGGAUCGUAAAACUCUGUUAUUAGGGAAGAACAAAUGUGUAAGUAACUAUGCACGUCUUGACGGUACCUAAUCAGAAAGCCACGGCUAACUACGUG
rnacentral:rRNA from 1 species